AGCGAACGCUGGCGGCAGGCUUAACACAUGCCAGUCGAGCGGGCACUUUCGGGUGUCAGCGGCGGACGGGUGAGUGACGCGUGGGAACGUGCCCUCUGGUUCGGAAUAACUCAGGGAAACUUGAGCUAAUACCGGAUACGCCCUUUUGGGGAAAGGCUUGCUGCCGGAGGAUCGGCCCGCGUCUGAUUAGCUAGUUGGUGAGGUAACGGCUCACCAAGGCGACGAUCAGUAGCUGGUCUGAGAGGAUGAUCAGCCACACUGGGACUGAGACACGGCCCAGACUCCUACGGGAGGCAGCAGUGGGGAAUAUUGGACAAUGGGCGCAAGCCUGAUCCAGCCAUGCCGCGUGAGCGAUGAAGGCCUUAGGGUUGUAAAGCUCUUUUAUCCGGGACGAUAAUGACGGUACCGGAGGAAUAAGCCCCGGCUAACUUCGUG
rnacentral:rRNA from 1 species